UACGAAGGGGGCUAGCGUUGUUCGGAGUUACUGGGCGUAAAGGGCGCGUAGGCGGCGCACCAAGUCAGGCGUGAAAGCCCUGGGCUCAACCCGGGAAUUGCGCUUGAGACUGGUGUGCUUGAGUACGGGAGAGGCGAGUGGAAUGGUCGGUGUAGCGGUGAAAUGCGUAGAUAUCGAUCGGAACACCCAUGGCGAAGGCAGCUCGCUGGCCUGCAACUGACGCUGAGGCGCGAAAGCGUGGGGAGCAAACAGG
rnacentral:rRNA from 1 species